AUCAACAACUAAUGGCCAAUGGGUGACUAGGUCAGGUCAGGGGCUGAAGCGGGGCAAUGGCAGAAUCAUCGGAGGCUGGGAUUUUUAGCUCGUAUUGCGUUUUCGAUGUGUUUUUUUUUUGUUUUUCCUUUUUGCUGUUUGCCUUUCGCUGCUGGAAAAAGCCAAACACAAAAUUGUGAAUUGAAAGCGCGACACAGUUAAAUUUCACGUGACAAGCCAAUAUUAAAUUUGAUUCAACUGCAAGCGGAUGAGCCAUAUAAAGAGAACAAGAGAGGGGAAAAGAGACCAAGAAUAAUGGACACAGGAUAGAGGAAAGGAAAACAGAGAAAUGGAGCUGCCAUUGGGAUGAAUAGGAGUUUUGCCGCAUACAAUCGGGUUGAGUUGGGCUGUUGCUAGGAAGAUGCCACGUCAAGUGGAUAACAAAUGUCAACAGUAUGAACUUCUCUCAACAUAUCCCACAGAACUAUGUCGUACAGUCAUCCAUGCACGCAACAAGAAGCCUGUCAAUUCAACUUCAUCAAUAAGUUAUCGAUAAGUUACAGUAACUUCUCUGCAUUUAGAAACUUGUCUAAUGUUCCUUAUAUAAUUAUAAAGCUUAAGCUAAUGUCGAAAA